AAUGUUUUCAGUCCGUCUAAUAUUUAUACCUCUCCGUUAAAUUCGGUGGCAGACAAUAUCAUGGACGGCAUUAUCUUCAUUUUGGAUGUCACAUCAUUUUUUCGUCACGGAGAUUAACGGAGAGAGAAGAAAUUUCUGUCCGGUUCUUGUUCUUCGUCUACGCCCCCUUACUGAACGAGAUCAUCUCUCUCUACCAAAGCAGCUUCAUCCCGGGAAGACGAUCGGGCGACAACGUAAUUAUCCUCCGUGAAGUAAUUCAAUCAGGUCUGGGAAAGUUGGUGGAUUCGUCCUAAAGCUGGACCUCGAUGAAGCAUUCGACAGAACUGAGUGGAGCUUUGUUCGAAAAGUGCUUUGUCUACUUCGGUUUUUCCAGACAAAUGGAUCAGAUUAGUCUUUCUUCACCUGUAUAUCCUCCACUUCCAUGGCAGAAUCAUCUCUUCCUUUCGGGCCCUCUCGAGGAAUCAGACAAGGGGGGAUCCCCUUUCCCCUACAUCUUCCUCCUCUGCUUGGAAUACCUAUCGAAUAUAGUGAAAAGUGCAGUCGAAUCGAAGAACUGGUUUGCUAUAAAACCAUUUCAAGGCUCCUCCGCUCUCUCACAUCUCCUCUUUGCGGACGACAUCAUUCGUAUGGGAAACAUGAAACAGACUACUAUGUCUUUUCUCGAGUUGAUCCUACACCAAUUUUGCUAUGGGUUAGGGAUGAAAUUGCUAUGACUUGAUCCUAUACCACAGCGGCUCUAAAAAACAUUUCAAGGGGUGGCCAUUACUGAUGACCUCGGGAAGUAUUUGGGAUUUCCGAUAUCCCUCUCGAAACCAAAAGAGACUGACUUCUCAUUCAUCAUUGACAAGGUCAGAUCCAAACUUGCGGGCUGGAAAUCUAAUUGACGGGUCGAGCUACUCUAAUUGACUCCACUACCUCUGCCAUCCCCUCCUACGUAAUGCAAUGCACCUAUCUUCCAAAAAGAGGUAACCUUCAAGCUUGACCAGAUUAAUCGAGAUUUCUUGUGGGGGAACCACUACUGAGAAGAAAAAGCUGCAUCUCGUCAAUUGGAAGACCAUCACCCUCCUAAAAGAAGCGGGUGGAUUGGGCCUCAAACGACUGGAGCAAAGAAACAAAGCACUCCUUGGAUGUCUGCCAUCAUGUAUGGUUAAGGAAGACUCCCCUUGGGCUAAGUUACUCCGACUUAAAUUCACUCGGAGCAGAACAACCUUCAAAUGGACUGGUUCACCAGCUUGGAAAGCCCUCAAAGUGGGAAUGGAAGUCUGGACCACCAGCGUUAAAAUACAUAGUCGGAGAUGGUACCCAAGUCAACCUCUGGAAUGAUCGGUGGGUUGGACCCUCGCCCCUACGAAAACUUAUCCAGGGCCCCCUUCCUUUGGGAGAAGAAGCUCGAACAGUUAAUACCAUCAUCAACUCGAGUAGGCAUUGGGAUCUCAGCAGUCUCCACCUCCCAAUGGAGCUCCAAGACAUAAUCAAAGGCCUCCCCUAAGCCUCAACCCCCUCGCCGAAGACUCACCAAUACAGGGACUUCCCAAAAAUGGCGAUUUUUCAUCAAAAUCCGCCCUUUAGAAUUGGAUCUGGAAAUGUCCAACAAUCUCGAGAAUGCAACAUUUUCUAUGGCUUUGCUCCAGGGAUAGGAUAGCCUCGGCAAAUUUGCUCUCAUGACGAGGUCUGCCUAUGAGCCCCUCUUGCCCCCGUUGUGCUAGUGUUGAAACAACCAUCCACAUUCUGCGAGAUUGCACUCACGCCAUUAACUUCUGGCACUAGCUUGGCAUCCCAGACAAAAUCUAUUCCUCCUUCCACUGUCCCCUUCAAGAGUGGCUUCAGACCAACUGCUCCACUAAACUAACCUCGACCGUGGGUAUCCAGUGGGGUACUUUGUUCUCCUACGUCCUAUAGUCUCUCUGGAAGAAUCAGAACUCUCUAUUGUUCUCCAAGCAGUCCCUCAAUGCGAAUUUACCUGCCUUCACUCUCCAACUUGCCGCAGAAAUGUCUAGCGCCCAAAAAGCAGCCAUAACAGUGGCUUAUGUGUCCAAGAAUGUGAGCUGGGCCUCAAGCUCAAUACAGAUGGAUCGAGUCCAGGCAACUCCGGGAAAGCAGGAGCUGGUAGACUGAUCAGAGAUCGUUAACGGAGAUUGGGUCAAGGGCUUUUUAGUCACUCAAUAUACGACAAAUCAUAGUGGAAGUUGAUGCAUCUACUGUUCUGCACGUGGUCUGGAAUGCUGAUAGCUCUAAUCAUCUACUAUGGCCGCUCAUUAAUGAAUACAAGAUGCUGAGCAGUCCUUCGAGGUGGUUAAACCUACUCAUGCAUUUAGGGAGGCUAAUUCUUGCGCGGAUCUCCUAGCUCGAGCUGGUGGACUUCAACAUGAAGAUAUCAUUUUAUUUGAUGUUGUUCCUCCAUUUCUUAGCUUAGCUCUGUUUGGAGACAGUAUGGGAGCCUCUGCGCCCCGGCUUGUAAAAGACCACGGUUAAUCUUUAAUGCAUUAUCCUCCAAAAAAAAAAAAUCUAUCCUUUCGUUGAAUGAAUGUCAUAUUUACCCCCCCCCCCCC